GACGAACGCUGGCGGCGUGCUUAACACAUGCAAGUCGAACGAAGUGGCGAACGGGUGAGUAAUACGUGGGUAACCUGCCCUCCUUUUUGGGAUAAGCCUUGGAAACGGGGUCUAAUACCGAAUAAAGGGGGAUGGGCUCGCGGCCUAUCAGCUGGUUGGUGGGGUGAUGGCCUACCAAGGCGGUGACGGGUAGCCGGCCUGAGAGGGGGACCGGCCACAUUAGGACUGAGAUACGGCCCAGAGUGCUACGAGCGGCAGCAGUGGGGGAUUUUGCGCAAUGGGCGAGCACCUGAUGCGGCGGCGCCGCGAGGGGGAUGAGGGCGUUCAGGUUGUAAACCUGGUACGAUAGCGAACGGGUAGGUGGAGAAGAAGCGCCGGCUAACUACGUGCCAGCAGCCGCGGUAAUUC
rnacentral:rRNA from 1 species